GGCUGUCGCUGACCUUUCGAAGGUCGUGCACGCCCAAGCACGCUCUCACACAUCCAUCUCACCCCUUUUGUGCAUCACCGCGUGGGCCCCCCUUUGCNGGAGGGCUUGCGUUUUCACAUAAAAACUUUGAUACAGUAUAGAAUGUUUUCUUUUGCGGUCACACGCAAUCAAUACAACU
rnacentral:misc_RNA from 1 species